CAUUGUCCUCGAUCAAAAUGUAUAUUUUUUUAUUUAAAAAUAAUCGGUGCCUGAGGUCUAAUAUUUUCGCAACUGCAUGGUGAACACUUUUUUAUACAGAUGCUGAGAUAGAUUUAUUAUAUCAUUUUAUAAAACUAAAACUGCUUCAACAUGUUCAAUGGCUAUGCUUAUCAGGGUUUUAAUGCUUAGACUUAAAUUUAAACCAAACACCUGUUUUUUACCCUCUUGUUUUAACUAAGGAAC
rnacentral:lncRNA from 1 species